rnacentral:lncRNA from 1 species
GCCACCACUCCAACACCGGCUCCCUGGAGCGCGACGAGGUGUUCGUGCCAAAGACGAAGGGGGCGCUGGCGUGGUACGCCCCGUACGUGUACAACAACCCCGUCGGGCGGCUGGUGCACAUCGUCGUGCAGCUCACCCUCGGGUGGCCGCUGUACCUGGCCACCAACGUGUCGGGACGCCCGUACCCGCGCUUCGCCUGCCACUACGACCCCUACGGCCCGAUCUACAACGACCGGGAGCGCGCGCAGAUCUUCGUCUCGGACGCCGGCGUCAUGGCCGUCUCGUUCGGGCUGUACAAGCUGGCGGCGACCUUGGGGUUCUGGUGGGUGGUGCGCGUCUACGCCGUGCCGCUGCUGAUCGUGAACGUGUGGCUGGUUCUCGUCACGUACCUGCACCACACCCACCCGGCGCUCCCCCACUACGACUCGAGGGAGUGGGACUGGCUGCGCGGCGCGCUGUCCACCGUGGACCGCGACUACGGCGUCUUCAACCGUUUUUUCCACAACAUCACCGACACACACGUCGUGCACCACCUCUUCUCCACGCUGCCGCACUUCCACGCCACGGAGGCUACCAAGGCGAUCAAGCCCAUCCUCGGCGAGUACUACCAGUUCGACCCCACUCCCAUCGCCAAGGCGACCUGGCGCGAAGCCAGGGAGUGCAUCUUUGUCGAGCCCGAGGAAGGCAGGGGCGUCUUCUGGUACAACAAGUUCUAGCUGCUUGAUGCGCGGAACUCAGGAUUGAGGUGAUCGUCCAUACUUUCACCGGAUUGGGAGAAGAAAUCAGGAAGAGAAGGCGGUAAAAAUGUUGUACCGAGUGUCCAUCCACCGAUACAUGGUUAUAGUCAUCACUCUUCAAUCUUUUUUUUUCAAAAGGCGGCAACAAACUUUUGCCGGAUUUUUAUUUGAUAAGGAAAACGAAAAUAAAUGGAUUUACAGUCUUACAAAAAUGAGUCUGAGCUCGCUUCCACUUUGGCACCUAGGACAACCCCUCUACUUUGAAAACGACCAAAAAAAAAACUUGAGGAAACUAAGGCCUUGUUUAGAUGGAGGGUGAAAAAAUUUUGGGUGUCACAUUGAAUGUUUUAUAGGAUGUCGGAAGGGGUAUUCGGAUACUAAUAAAAAAACUAAUUACAUAACUCGUCUGGAAAUUGUGAGACAAAUUUAUUAAGCCUAAUUAAUCCAUCAUUAUUAUAUAUAGGUUACUGUAGCACUUAAGGCUAAUUAUGAACUAACUAAUCUUAAAAGAUUCGUCUCAUGAUUUUCAACCUAACUGUGUAAUUAGUUUAUUUUUAUAUAUAUAUUUAAUACUUCAUGUAUGUGUCUAAACAUUCGAUAUGAUGGGUGAAAAGUUUUUGGUAUGGGAACUAAACAAAGCCUAAAUAAACACACCACCUGAAGUACUAGCGAGAAAACCUGAAUGGGAGGGGAAAAAAAAAGAAGACCACUGCAACUAACUGCUUCAAGGAUUUGGCCACGUGGCUAGUUGGGUUUGAUUUCUUCCUUGCACGAGAAGGCUACCUCUCUUUGUUACAAGCCUUUGUUUUGAGAGGUUAUCCUAUUUCUUUCUUUUCAUGGUUCUACCAAAAAUAUAUUUCGAUUCUAUCAAAUCUUUUUUUUUGAAAAAAAAAUACAUACAUACAUGAUGCACCCAGGUUCGAUACAUGGAUACUCCCUCUGUAUCAUUUAAAAACGUUGUUAUGGCCUCUCCCCUCAAUUGCAAUACAGACGUGAAUGUCCUUGCCUCUUUGAUCGCCGCACUAUGCACUCGUAGCCUCAAUCUCCAUCCACGCCGUUCCCACUCGCCUCUCGUGCGUAGUCUGCGCUCGCCACUCACCUCUCGUUUCCCAUCCGUGUCUGCUCGCCACGUCCGUUUCUUAAGCCCUAACCACGGCCGGAGAUGUGAAGUGAAUGGAAACGUACUGCUAGCAAGCUUCUGAAUGGAAAUAUAGAUGCUAGCUAGCUUGCCUCUUUCCCCAUUUGCGACCGUUUCUCGCUACUCGCCGCUCACCUCUCACGUCCACUGCUCGUGCUCACCGCGAUCGUCGCUCGCACUCACCGCGGUCGCAGCUCGUGCUCACUGCUCACUUUCCAUGGCUGCGGUGUCGGUGGGCUCGAUGGAUGCGGUGCGGGAGCAGAUAGGGAAAACUCUACCCUAAUUAAUUAUUCUUUGAUAUGCUAAAUGUUGUUAUAAACUUCAUUUUUUUCUAGUAUAAGUCAAUCUGCUGCCACGUGGACAACUCGACAACAUCUACGGUCCUCGUUCUGUGAUUGGCUGGGCUCUGUCGCCCGCACCCUGCCGUCAUCGGCCCAGCCGUGCUCGCUGGUGGUCCUCCCCAGGAGAUGGGUCCGCGCGACGAUGCCAGGCCUACCAGUCCCAAGGAGUUUGGUCGGCCGUUGCUUCAACUGGUUCGCAAUGCAUGUCGCUGCCUCCUGUCGUGGGCUGAUUUUUCCUCAAACUGCAUUUCGUGGGCUGAUUUUUCUGUGUACUAGUACUGUGUUCAUCCGCUAUUCCGUUGUGUAUAUUGGCCAUAAGUGAUAAAUCUACGAACUCAGAGAUAGUUCCUGGGUCAUGUUGUAGUCAAUGUCUGCAUUCCACCUAUCGUUUUGCAGUGCCUCGGCCACUGACCGAUUUUUUCUUUUGUUGUGCCAUACCCUCCGAAAGAAUAAAAAAUUUUAUUUUUCAAGAAGUCAAAUAAUUUAAACUUUAACUAAUUUCUAUAAAAAAGUAUCUAACAUUCAUAAUAAAAAAUAAGUAUUAUUAGAUUAAAAUAUACUUUUAUAAUAAAUUUAUUUAGAGACAUAAAUACUAAUAUUAUUUACUAUAAAUUUGAUCAAACUUAUGUCAGUUCAACUGACACGGAUUCUAUAAUUGCAUUCUUUGUUACGUGUAGGAUCUUGCAGAUAUCGUAUUCGUUCACUUAUUUUACAAACCGUAUUUUUUCUACCAAUCAAUAGUAUGAACAAUACUUUCACCUGUAACUAUUUAGAAACAGGCUCAUCGUGACGCAUCGUGACGACCAGAAGGAAGCCUUUUUGGACAUUCCCCAACUGCACAAGGGCUGCUGCAGUGAUGAUCAUCUUAUCACAAUCUCAUCCACAGGGCAGCUGCAUACGGCAUACCUUUCCAAAGGUCUGUCUUCUUUUUUUUUUUGACCAACUGAACCUGAUCCAUCUGAUUCUCAAUGCCUGGGGAGAAGAGCUCCAUGUCAAGAAUGCCCAGCCCCAGACCUCCCGUGGUGUUGGCAUGCAUAAUUUGGUCUAUGCUGCCUUGUAGUAUCUCAAAGUCCGGAUCUAAAUUAGAAACCAUAUAAACUAUGUUGCAAAGAUUAUAGAAACCGGAUCUAAGUUAGAAACCAUAUCUACAAGAGAACCAAGACAUAAAGAAAUAUAAUUGGUAGAGAAUGAACUCCAUCCGUCCACGAAAGAGUAAAUUUCUAGAGUUGUUCUAAGUCAAACUUUUUAAAUUUUGACCAAAUUUCUAGAAAAAAAUACUAAGAUUUAUGGUAUCAAAUUAGUACUAUUAGAUUCAUCAUAUAAUAUAUUUUCAUAUGAUGUGCAUUUUAUGUCAUAGAUGUUGUUACUCUUUUCUAUAAAGUUAGACAAACUUAAAAAAAAUUGACUGACACGGAUUCUAGGAAUUGACGGAGGGAGUAUAGAAACUAUGUUUAGUUUAUAGCAACUAUAUUUGCUAUUGUCCAUAGCAACACACGGGUAAUAGCCUGGUACCCAGCCUCUCAGUAUUUGACAUCGAAUUCGUAAGCAUUUCAAAAUGUAAUCCAGGACACGCCAAUUCUUUCAAUCCGAGAGAUUCGGUACCGAGAGUCCGAGACAGUGCAUCGACGCCGAGCAACCACUGCUCGCUGUCGCUGGACAGCUGAGGCCUCAGGGACCGCGUGCGUCCUGCCUGCGCGCCGCUGCAGCGCUGCUCCCGCUCGCGGCUCGCUUGUCUGAGCAGCACCGCUUGCGCACUCUGCAGUCUUCAUGGCGCCACCUUGCCACCUUGGCCGCCUCGCACCGCCCUCGCCGUCGUCUGCAACCCGUCAGUCCCCGCCGCGCCAUCACUCUGAGCAGACCAUCGUCACACGCGGCGUGGCCGGUGGUGACACCUGCAGAGCAUGCUCGCCACUUGUCAGUUCUUUCAGCAAGCUGCCAGCACCGAGCUCGCUUGUUUGCUUGUUGCUAGUAUGGGUAUGGCAGACAUCAGGCGACAAGAGUUGUAGGAGCCAUGUACAUAGAUGGGUAUCUUUCUUUCGGUUCUUGGAACUUGAUUCACAGGUGGAUGUCUCCAAGAUGGUUGGUAGUGCUGGCGCAUGCAUUUCGAUCAUCAGAGUAGUAUGCAACAUCGCCUGUAACUGAAUGAAGCAUACGUACCAAGGCGUUUUCUGUUGCCUUUAUGGAUGACCUCUUCGAGUCCCUGUGAGGACAGUGACGUCUAAGUUAGUUUGGAUGCUCAAGUUGAAGAUGAAGGAACAAUGGAACACGGUUGGUAAUCACACAUCAUCACGAGCACGAUGAAGUUAGCAGAGCAACCUGAAAUGGAGUGAGAGACUAGAGACCGGUGAAGGCCAGAGUGCGCGGCCCAGUAUUUCAGCCCACUGGAGGGGGAGGGGGGCAGAAAUCAAAACUGAAAUUGAGCGCUGCGCGUUUGAAACGACAGCAGAUGAGCAGACAGAGUGAAGAGUCUCCAAAUCUGACAGUUAUUCAGCAGUGUGUUUUUAUAAAUAUAUAAAUAAUAAAUUAACUUUGUGUCUAAUGAUCUAUAGUUUUUAUGAAUUCAAAAAGAAAUAUGCUGUAGUUUAGUUUAGAGCAACAACACAGUGCAUGUCUGCAUUGCCUGGCUCAAAGAUAAGACUCGCACUACAGUGAAAUGCUCCGGCACACAAAUUGAUGGUGAAUCCAACUAAACUGUUUCCUCCCUCUCAAAAUAACUACUCCUCUGUUCCUAAAUUUAUGUUGCGACCAUUGUUUGUAUAUCAAUAAGUUUGUCUAAAUUUAUAAAAAAUAUUAACAAUAUUUAUAUCUUCAAAUAAAUUUAUUAUCAAAAUAGAUUUGAUAAUCUAUCUAAUAAUUCUAAUUAUAUACCAUAAAUACUAAUAUUGUUUUAUAUAUAUUUAGUCAAUGUUUUUUCUUGAAAAGCGAAAACAACAAUUAAAAGGGACGGAGGAAGUACACAUCAAGCUAUUUGAGAUACCAAAUUUUAUUGUAUUUUAACCAAAUCUAUAUAAUAUAUAUAUAUAUAGUGUAAUAAGUAACAAGUAUCAUUAAAUUGAUAUUAGAUAUAUUUUGUAAUAAACAUAUUAUUUUAAUGUGACCGGAGGGAGAUUGCUCCCAACCUUAAAACAUAUUAUAUAGCCCAAAACGACUUGAUAUAAAUUUACAAAAGUUUACGAAGAAACUACAAAAACACCGAACAAACCUAGCAUUAGGGCGAAAAGUGGCAAAACCACAAAAACACAGCGGAAAGCAAGGACUACCACACGCAAGACACGAAAGCUCUUUGACGAUACCCCUAGGGAGGUGAAUGACGUCAGAACACAAUCAUCGUCAGCCAAGUAGAAGCUUGGCAAGGCUUUUGCCUGAGCCUUGUGCCGAUGGAGAGCUACAAUGAAUGGCCCAUGGGAAGAAGCGGCUAAAUGUUCUUCAACAACACCUUUAAGAAGGAAAAUCUUGUCACUAGCCUAGACAUGAUCUAAGUUGAACUUUAGCCCAGAACCUUUACAAGUGUUCUUGCCGAUCGUCACCAUAUGUCACCCGGAGACGUUCGGACUCGCCCGCGACGACGGGAGGCGCGCACCGGUAGUGCCAGUUGUCACCACACGCCAUGGAGCCCUAUGGACUCGCUCAUGACGUCGGGAGCAGUGCACUGGCAGUGCCAGUCGCCACCACACGUCGUAGAGACGUUCAAACUCGCCCGCGACAACGGGAGGCGCGCACUGGUGCUACUAGUCGCCGCCACACGUCACGAAGCCGUUCGGACUCGCCCGCGACAAUGGGAGGCACGCACUGACGCCGCCCAUCGCCGCCGCACGCCGCGGAGCUGUUCGGACUCGCCCGCGACACCCGGAGGCGCGCACCGGCAGUGCCAGUCACCGCCACAUGCCACAGAGCCGUUCGGACUCGUCCGCGACAACAGGAGGCGCGCACCGGUAGAGUCAGUCGCCACCACACGUCGCUGAGGCACGCACCGACACCGACCAGGAGGUCUCUUGGUGAAGAGACGUUGAUGCCAGCCAUCGCCACACGGGGACGGUGGACUAUGACCGAGGUAGAAGAGCGGGCCGCCGCUGCACGAGAAUGGCAUGUCCGCCCACCCAACCCGCUCAUGCAGCAGCAGCAACAUCCGCGCCGUGGUCCUCCCUUAUCGUGGAACGCCGGCUCCCCUCGUCUCUAGGUAGACCCUCCGUCGUGCAUGGCGGCUCGCCACACACCGUCAUGGCCGCCUGAAAGGAUCAAGAUGCCCAAGAGGGGGGGGGUGAAUUGGGCUUCUCUAAAAAUUUAAGCAACCUAUAAGCUCCAAUUCAACCCCUUGUGCCUAGUGUGACUUAGAGAGCUACCGGAUAAAAGUUUUGCAACCUAGUUCCAAUCCUGUUCUAGCAUGGCAAUUCUAAGAAUGUAAGAGCACAAAGUAAAUGCUAGAAAGUAAGGGAGUAGUGGAAGAAAAUGCUCGGCGAUGUUUUGCCGAGGUAUCGGAGAGUCGCCACUCUCCACUAGUCCUCGUUGGAGCACCCGCGCAAGGGUCUUGCUCCCCCUUGGUCCGCGCAAGGACCAAGUGCUCUCUACGGGCUGAUUCUUCGACACUCCGUCGCGGUGAAUCGCCCAAAACCGCUCACAAGCUUGACACGAGCCACCCACAAGAACUCCGGGUGAUCUUCGUGCCUCCAAUCACCACCGAACCGUCUAGGUGAUGGCGAUCACCAAGAGUAAAAAGCAAAGAACUCUCACUUGACCCAAACAAGGCACUAGAGAGUGAUGGAUGCACACUUGACUCUUGGAACUCACUAGAGGAUGAUUCUCUCAAGAAUUCACUCAAAACUCAAUCCUCUCUAGGCUCUUUGCAACUCUCUUGCUCCACAACAAGUUUCUCUGAUGUUCAAAUGGGCAAGAGAGGUCUCAUGGACGAAGUGGAGAAGUAUAAAUACUAUCCACGAAGUCCAAAGGUCGGCCAACCGUUUUCCACUGAAAACGGGGUCACCGGACGCACGUUAUGUUGCACCGGACGCGUUGCACUGAGCGUCCGGUGUGACAUAACGGCUACCUGCGCUUUUCUCUGACAGGUCAUCGGACGCUAACUCGCAGCGUCCGGUGCACCGUCCGGUGCUCGGGGAAACUUUACAUGUUCCCUGCGCAUGGGACCGGACGCUACCCGGCGCGUCCGGUGCUAGCGUCCGGUGCACAGGGGAACUUUGCAAGCUCCCUGGGUAAGGGACCGGACGCUACACGGUGCGUCCGGUGCUAGCGUCCGGUGCCUAACCCUAAGCACGGCACUGUUCUAACGGCUAAGGACCUCACCGGACGCACUCACAGAGCGUCCGGUGCAGCGUCCGGUGCCCCUUUGGGCACCCAAACUUCGUCGAAACGCGAUCGCUCCAACACGAAGUUUGUUCCUCUCGAUCUAAGGACUAUCUCUGAGCUGCCUAGUGCUGGGUUUACCAAGUGUGCACCACACCUAAACCUAAAGCCUUGCCUAAGUCAAGCUACUAGAUCAAAGCCCCUCUUAAUAGUACGGUCAAAGGAAAAACAAGGUCCUAAACUACUCUAAGUGCCCUUCUUCACCAUGUGGCACUUAGACCUAGUCUAGUCUUGACGAUGUCCAUCCAACCUUUGAAAACCGAAACGAUUUCCACUAUUAAGUAGGCAUGUACGUCCCUGUCCAUCGAGUAUCUAUAUACCAUGACCUUACCUAUGACUUUGCCUCUGCAAAACACACGUUAGUCAUAGUAACCAAUAAUGUCAUUAAUCACCGAAACUCUAGGGGCCUAGAUGCUCUUUCAAUCUCCCCCUUUUUGGUGAUUGAUGACAACCUCGAGUAUGAAAAGAGUUGAGGUUUUCAAAGAGACUUGGUUUCAAUAAGCAUAUUACAAUAAGAAUAAAAGGAUUAGCAAUGCUUAUAUCAACCAAGUCUAAUACCCUGCAUCCAAAUAUGUGAGUGGUAUACGAUAGGAUAUAAACACUAGGCUCAUAAGAAUAUCGGAGUAAGAACGCGGAAGCAAAGGUAAUAUGAGCCAAAACACAUGACAUUAAGAUAUCACAAUAAGCACAAAUCAUGUCUCAUAACCAUAGUAUCUCACACAAGUGCAAUGCAUAAAAGUAAACGUGAUGCAUGAUAGAGUAGCACACAUAAAGAGUAUCUCAAAAGAAUAGACUCCUCACAAGAAGACUCCUAAAGCCUCUCUAGCUCCCCCUAACUCCUAACUCUCAUACUACGAACUCUCUCCCCCUUUGGCAUCAAGCGCCAAAAACCUAAGAAGUCGGUGGAGGAGACGGAGCAGUGGAGUCCCUCGGCACGGCCACGAAGCGAGCUGCAUCAUCUGAACUGUCGGCCGUCGAGGCAGAGGAGGUGGAGUGACCCUCUGAAGCUGCAGGUGCUGGAGAAGCGGUCCGGGUCUGCUCUGGCGCUAUCACAGGCUGUGCUGGCUGCUCAAGUCCGGCUGACGAAGCUGGCACGGACUCGGUCGCUGUAGCUGUCGUCUCUGGAACGGUAGUAGACGGUGCAAGCUGCUCGGACGACGCUACGGACGACGACAGAAGCUCUGUAGUGGUAACUGGCGCUGUAAAGACUGCAGGAGCCUGCAGAGGAGAAGGCGUAGGGUCACCAGUCAGAGCACUGUAGGUGAAGCUGAGGUGCGGAUCUGUCUGCGAGUCCCACACAAGCUGCGACGCUGAAGCUGACUGAGGGGUGAAGCCUGAGCGGAGAGGGGUAAACUGCGGUACCUGCUCAAAGCCUGAAGAGAUAGCACCCUGAGAGACCUGGUGCUGUGGCGUCGAAAACGGCUGACUCUGAGCUGGUAGCUGGAGCGGCUGCUGAGACGGGCUCUGAGUCUGAGGCACUGGAGUAGGUGGCCUGACAGUCGACGUGCCUGGGAGCUGGAUCUGCGGUAGCUGAAUCCCUGAGGCGGCCAUGAGAGCGGCCAUCAUCGCUGUCUGCUGGGCCUGGAAAGCAAGCUGCUGCUCCUGAAAAGUGAGAAGCUGACGCUGGAGCUCAUCCUGCCUGGCCUGCAUGGCUGCAUUGAUGGCAGCCUGAUCCCAGUCUCGCCUCGCCUGCUCCUCAGCUGCACGGCGCUGAUCUGCCCUCAUCCCCUCUAAGAUAGCAAGCAGGGCAGGGUCUGAAGUACUCGAAGAACCGCCUGCCUCAUGGUCGUGAGCUCUAGGAGGAAGAUCAGUCACUGGCGGCUGAUAGUCGUCGUCUGAACUGUCUGAGGCGAAGUCAAACUCGCCCUCUGCCUCUGCAUCGGCGAACGCGCCGAUAGCUACGUCCUGCUGCUCCUCUGUCUCUGCAACAGCUACUGUACUGCGGGUGCCCCUAGGAGAAGGUAGGGGCACCGGUCCACGUGGAGCACGAGGAGGAGGGGCACCGCGAAGGUCGUGGUGCGCUCUCAACAUCUGCCGGGGGUCGUAGUGGGGGAAGACGGUGUCGGACUCUGUCAACUCCCUCUGCAAGUGAGCUGGCAUGGGCAGUGGCCUAGCACGAAGUAUAAGCAGGGUGAUCCAAUGUGCGUAGGGCAACUGACGCCGGCCCCUGAAGCUCUCUGAGAUGGUGUCCUCUAUCUCUGAGACAAUCAGAUCCCACAAAUCAAACUCUGUCUGGGAGAUGAGGUGAGCAACUAACCACUGCUGGAUGCGAGUGAACCCGUCUCUGUAGCCUGUCCUGGGGAGAAGGGUCUUCCUCAACACGAAGUCAAGGAUCCUGGCUGGGCGUAUCAAGUCACCCACUGUCCUGCUGGAGCCCUCCCCAAAAGGUGCACGGAAGCAUGGAGCCACGAAGUCGACUGGUGGUAUCUCACCACCGUGAGGACGACGAGGGGGAUCCACGUUCCCAUAGCAUAGCUGGUGAAUCCUGGUGGGAGAGGCUCGCAGUCCAAGUACCUCUCUGGCCCUCUGAGCUGUCACUCUGUAGUCUGUCCCCGCCAGUGCGUAGUGGAUAUAACUGUGAUCUGGAGAAACCCACACUGACGCAUAGAACUCUCUGACCCACUGCUCACAGUAAGUGCCGGGGAGUGCUAGUAACUCUGGAAGUCCGUGGAGGUAGGUAAAAUACUGACGAAUAUCAGCUCCAACUACGUUCCCCAGUAUCUCCAGGUCGAUCACUCGGUGCUCCCUGAACUGAGCCUGAGAGCGAACCAGUGCCUCGUAGAUGUCCUCCUGGAUGACUGUGUAGAACCUGGCACCGGCUCUAGGAUCCCUGGCAGCUGGAAACCAGGUGGGAAACGGAACGAACCUCAGCUGCUGGAUCUCUCUGGCUGACACAAGAGAAAGAUCCCUGUGGAUCCUGACUGGCCUCGGGCGUGAAGCUGGUGUACCUCUCGCUGGUGUGGCACGAGCUGUGGAAGUGGACUGACCCGGCGUGCCGGUCCGAGGAACGGCCUGGGUGCGAGCACGAGUCGACCUCCUGAGUGGCUGCUCCUGUUCCUGUGCUGGACCCUCUGCCUGGGUCUCUGUCUCAGUGUCUGGAUCCUCCUGAGCUGGAUCCCUGACCACAAGCCUAACCCUCUGUCCUCCAAUCAUCACGGUGCCUGGAGGGGAUCCAUGGAAAGCCUCUGCCUCAAGCACUGCACGCCUCUGACGCGGCGUAAGAUCAUCACCGAUCCUCAGAGAACCAGAGCGACCACCCCUCUCGGCUGCCUCAGCCGCUGCUGCAACUGCCUCUGCGACCUUUGCAUCUCUGUCACUGGCCUUCCGCUUCUUUGUCGCCAGCUUCUUGCCUUUUCCCUUCUCUACCGCUGACAGGCGCCGGGGAGGAUCACCUCCACCAUCUCCUCCUGGAGAACCUCCGGAGCCAGCUGUCGGACCACUGACGUUCUUGGUGCGAGCCAUUGCGAAACAAGAGUCCGACAAACAACCGACUAACAAUGGAGUUUAACGCGCUGCAGGGAAACGACAAGAUAGGAUGUAUAUAAGCAAACAUAUCGACUAGAGAUGAGAUAAACCUAUGGAUCGCAAGAAAAGAUAAGAUACGGGCAUGAACAGCUUACGAUCCACGGACGAGAUGCGUUCCGAAAGAGAUGACACGAUCGGGAACUGCCGGAGAACGCGAAGCUCCUCCUUAAGGUGCUGCACAGGGUUAACGAAGAAGAUCAGAGUCAAAACCCCUUUUCUAAUCCGUUGAGACAAAAAUUCAAACACCUUAAGGGCAGGAAACUUAAGAGACUCACUCAAGCCUUCAAAUCACUGCGAGAUUGAAUCUGCGCAAGGGAAGAAGGAAGAGGGAGAGGCUCCGGAGUGGAUCUGGCGCGGGGGAACCUCCAAGGACGCCGCGGAUGGCCGGAAUUCGACGGCGGCGGCGGCGCUAGGGCAGGGCGCGGGCGCGGGAAGAGAACCGGAGAGGAAAAAGAUCGGCCGCGAGAUGCCCCUGGGCGCGGGCUUUAUGCGCCCGCCGCGGGGUCACCGGACGCUCUUUAUGUUGCACCGGACGCGUCCGGUGACCACCGGACUCAUGCGCAGAGAGGUUUGCAUUUUAGUUUUGCACCGGACGAUGGGCACCGGACGCUGGCUUUAGCGUCCGGUGCUUCAGGUCACACCAGGUGAGCACCGGACGCACCGCACCGGACGCAACAGGGAUACUGUUCCUAUGUCCGGUGAGUACAGUCUGGCGCAUUCACCGCACCGGACGCUCAAAGGCAGCAUCCGGUGCAUCGUCCGGUGCUCCUCUGAGCACUUUUCCAACUAAGCACCACGUCCGACUUUGACCCAACCAAGUUCCAUCUUCAAAAGCACACAAGGAAACACCAAAUGGAACUGGUAUGAGUGACCUCUCUCAAACCCUCAAAUUUUCACAAAUAUUUAGCCAUAGGCUUAGUAGUUUUUAUGAAGGUAGUUCGAGAAAAAAAUCACCAAGGAGCAUCGUAUGGCCAUAAAGCUAGGGGGUUAAAACAUAAUGAGCUUUGAAUGCUCCCCCUAUCUAUGGACGAACACAGCGGAUGCUCAACGAAUAACCGAAAAGAAACGAUCAACUAACAAGCAUGCACAUGAUAUGAGUUGUAGUGCAAUAUUUGAGAGAAAACUAAUGCUUGUCAAGUUUGAUCCAAGGUUAAGCUUUUUCACACACACAAGGGGGUUAUCUUAACCAUGUUAGACAAGCCCUACAUGCAAGUUAUAUUUUUAGUUUUGAUAUGCAUGAAAUGCAAAGCAAAGGUUAUUUACAAGAUUCAACACACAACUUUUAUCUUUUAGUGAAGUUGGAAAGGUCAAGCACAUUAAGUUCAUUUCUCAACAUACAAAACCUAGCUUCAUCUAGGGGUUUUGUGAAGAUAUCCGCCAAUUGAUUUUCCGUUCCCACAUUCUCUAGGGAUAUGUCACCUUUAGCAACAUGAUCCCUAAGGAAGUGGUGACGGAUGUCAAUAUGUUUUGUGCGGGUGUGUUGAACCGGGUUGUUUGCAAGUUUUACGGCACUUUCGUUGUCACACAACAAAGGUACUUUGUCUAGUUCUACUCCAUAGUCUAGCAAAGUUUGUUUCAUGUAGAGUAUUUGUGCACAACAAGCACCGGCGGCUAUGUAUUCCGCCUCGGCCGUUGACAAAGCAACACUAUUUUGUUUCUUUGACAUCCAAGAGACAAGUGAUCUACCUAGGAAAUGGCACCCUCCGGAUGUGCUUUUUCUAUCAAUCCGGCACCCGGCAUAAUCCGAAUCGGAAUAGCCUACAAGUUGGAAUCUUGCACCUUUGGGAUACCACAAGCCUAGGCGAGGUGUGUAUUUUAGAUACCUAAGAAUUCUCUUGACGGCAAUCAAGUGAGAUUCCAUAGGCAUUGCUUGAUAUCUUGCACACAUACACACACUAAACAUUAUGUCGGGCCUAGAUGCGGUGAGGUAGAGUAGACUUCCUAUCAUGGAGCGAUAGAGAGUCUUGUCAAUAGGGUUACCUCCCUCAUCCAAGUCGAGAUGCCCAUUUGAUGCCAUGGGAGUCUUGAUUGGCUUGCAAUCCAUCAUCUUCAACCUCUUGAGAAGAUCUUGAGUGUACUUCUCUUGAGAGAUGAAGACCCCUUCCUUCAUUUGUUUGACUUGAAAUCCUAGGAAGAAGGAUAGCUCGCCAAUCAUGGACAUCUCAAACUCUUUGGACAUCAAAUCACCAAAUUCCUUGCAAAAGUCUUCAUUAGUAGAGCCAAAAAUAAUAUCAUCAACAUAAACUUGGCAAAUGAAGAUUUCCCCAUUCAUUUUAUUGGUGAAGAGUGUUGUGUCAACUUUCCCAAUCUUAAAGCCCUUCUCAAUGAGGAAGUCCCUAAGCCUCUCAUACCAAGCUCUAGGAGCUUCCUUGAGACCAUAGAGUGCCUUGGACAACCGGUAGACAUGCUUGGGGUACCUAGGGUCUUCAAAACCGGGGGGUUGCUCAACAUAGACAAGCUCAUUAAUAUAACCAUUUAAAAAGGCACUUUUCACAUCCAUUUGAAAUAAUUUGAUAUCAUGACUUGAUGCAUAUGCAAGUAGGAUACGGAUUGCUUCAAGUCUUGCCACCGGUGCAAAAGUUUCACCGAAGUCAAGACCUUCCACUUGUGAAAAGCCUUUUGCCACAAGUCUUGCCUUGUUGCACACCACUUUGCCUUGAUCAUCCUUCUUGUUCCGGAAGACCCACUUUGUCCCAAUCACUCUUGCAUCUUUGGGUCGCUCUUCAAGUGUCCAUACUUGGUUGCGAGAGAAGUUGUUCAACUCCUCUUGCAUGGCCAUGAUCCAAUCCGCAUCACGAAGAGCUUCCUCUAUAGUCUUUGGUUCAUCUUCAAGAGACACAAAAGCGUGAUGUUCAAUAAAUAAAGCAUGUCUAGAACGAGUAGUUACACCACGUGAUGGACUCCCGAUGAUGAGAUCUUGAGAGUGAUCUUGGAGGAGAUGUGAUGUUCUUCUUGGUGCCACUUGAGGGGUUGGUUGGGGAGCAUCAACAUCUUGUGCUUGUGCCACCGCUUGCUCAUGAGUGACUUGGGUGUCUUCAUGAGCAUCUCUCACAUCCUUGUCUUCAUCUUGUGGACCUUGUGAGGUGGAUGGUGGCUCAAUGACUUGCACAUCAUCAUCAUCUUCUUUAGGCUUGAUGUCUCCCACCGACAUGUUCUUCAUGGCAUCCCUCAAUGGUUCACCACCUACAUCAUCAAGAUUAUCACUUGCUCCUUGGGAGCCAUUAGUUUCAUCAAAUUCAACAUCAAAUGUUUCUUCAACCAUGUUUGUGGCAUGGUUAAAGACCCUAUAUGCUUUGGACUUUGAUGAAUAGCCAACCAAGUAGCCAAUGUCACAUCUUCUUUGGAACUUUCCCAAGUGUUGGCGCUUCUUGUAGAUGUAGCACUUGCACCCAAACACUCUAAAGAAUGAGACAUCGGGCUUCUUCCCAUUGAGCAACUCAUAUGGUGUCUUCUCUAGGAACUUGUGAGGAAAGAGCCGGUUUGACGCAUAGCAUGCGGUGUUGAUUGCCUCGGCCCACAUCUUCUCCGAAGUGUUAUACUCAUCUAGCAUUGUUCUUGCCAAGGUAAUCAAAGUCCGGUUCUUUCUUUCUACAACCCCAUUUUGUUGUGGUGUGUAUGUUGAGGAGAACUCAUGCUUGAUUCCCACUUCAUCACAAUAUUCUUCAAUGUUGGUGUUGUCAAACUCUUUGCCAUUGUCACUUCUAAUUUUCUUGAUCUUCACAUCAAAUUGAUUUUGAGUAUUCUUUGCAAACUUCUUGAAAAUUGAUGCAACUUCGGCCUUAUCUUGCAAGAAGAAUGUCCAAGAGUAACGGGAGAAGUCAUCAACUAUGACCAAGCAAUAUUUGUUGCCUCCAAGACUAGCAUAUGUUGUUGGUCCAAACAAGUCCAUGUGAAGUAGCUCAAGCACUCUUGAAGUAGAGAGAUAGGCUUUGGUUGGAUGAGUGUUUGCAACUUGUUUGCCCGCUCGACAUGCACUACAAAGUUUGUCCUUUUCAAAUGUCACAUCCUUCAAGCCUCUAAUCAAUUCUUUCUUCAUCAACUUCUUGAGUGUGCCCAUUCCAACAUGUGCUAACCUUCUAUGCCACAACCACCCAAGUGAAGUCUUGGUGAAUAAGCAAGUCUUUACAUUAACUUCAUUUGAUGAGAAGUCAACCACAUAUAAGUUGUUGUGCCGGAAGCCUUUGAAUAUCACUUCAUUGUCAUCUUCCUUGGUCACAAUUACUUCCUUCUUCUUGAAUAGGCAUUCAAAUCCAAGGUCACAUAAUUCUCCAACCGAGAGCAAAUUGAAACUCAAAGAUUGCACAUAGAGCACAUUGGUGAUGGAGUUGUCAUUUGAUAUAGCAACCUUUCCUAGACCCUUGACUUUCCCUUUUGAAUUGUCACCAAAUGUGAUCUUCUCUUGGUUGUCAAUAUCUACAUCAAGAGAGGUGAACAUCCGGGGAUCUCCGGUCAUGUGUUGAGUGCAACCACUAUCAAUUACCCAAUGUGAUCCACCGGUCUUGUAGUUCACCUACACACAAGAGAUCAAGCUUGAGAUUUAGGGACCCACAUUUGCUUAGGGCCCUUGACCUUCUCUACUAGUUGCUUUGGCACCCAAAUCUUCUUUGGCCUUUGCUUGUUUGGUGGCCCCAUGAAGCUAACCUUGACCUUGCCACAUUUGUCUUUCCUUACAAUGUAAUGAGCAUUGAAGGCAAAUGGUCUUGCAUGCUUGGGCAAGGGUGGUGGUAGUGGUGCCUUACACUCAUGAGCAAAGUGUCCUUCUUGACCGCACUCAAAACAUCUUUUUGGCUUUGGCUUGCUUGCUUGAUCAUGAGUGACUAGAGACUUAAUGAGCUUUGUUUGAUGAGCCUUGUAGCCAAUCCCACUCUUGUCCAUCUUCAUGACGGUGUUCAUGAAAAGCUCACUUUGAAGGUCCUUCCCCUUUGUGAACUUUGCUAACCCCAUGGUUAGGUGUUCCUUCUCUUUCUUGAGCUUGUUGUUCUCUUGAGUUAGCUUCUUGAUGAUUGGGUCAUUGUUGCUUGCUAACUCAUCCAAGAUGAAUAUCUCAUCUUCUUCUUGCUUGUCAUACAUUAAACCAAGCUUGAGAUAUUGAUUUUCUUCUUUGAGUAACUUGUUCUCAUAUGCAAGUUUCUUGUCUUGAUCAAGUGACUCAAUCACAAUGGUGUUGUGCUUGGAUUGAUCUUGCAACUCUUUCUUGAGCAUGACAAUUUCAUCCUUGAGCUUGAUAGUGUCCUCAUAACUCUCGGCCACUACCACUUUCUUGCCCUUGCAAACAACACAUUUGCUUGUGCUCUCCACAAGUAAGUCAUCACAAGAUGUGGCUACAUCAAGCUUAGCAACAUUGUUAGUAGCAACAUGUGUUUCAUCAAUUGCAAGUUCAUAAGCAAUCUCAAGGUUGUCAUAGUUUGCUUUUAGAGUUGUUAGUUCUUCUUUCAUAGCUCUAUAUCUAGUGAUAAGCUCAUCAUGAACACUCUCAAGUUUAUCAUGUUUUUCUUUGAGCUCUUUUAGAGAGAGUUUGAGCUCCUUGAGCUUAGUGGUCAUGAUCUCAUUUUGUUCUCUAAGCUCAUCACUAGAGUUAAGCUUUGCUAGAAGUGUAUCAUUUUCAAGUUCAAGCUUUUCAUUUUCACUUCUAGUCUUUCUUAUGACUUUUGUGUAUUUGUUUAGCAAUUUUACAAGUUCAUCAUAAGAAGGUGAUUCAUAUUCACUAUCACUUUCACUACUCUCAUCCUCACUUUGUACCUUCCGGUCACCUUUGGCCAUAAGGCAUAGGUGUGUAGCGGAUGUAGAUGGUGGUGAAGAUGAUGGUGAUGGAGCAUCGAUGGCGAUAGCGGCAACCUUCUCAUCAUCACUUUCAUUGCCGGAGGAGUCACCACUUGAGCUUUCAAUGUCGGUGAGCCAAUCACCAACAAUAUAAGCCUUGCCAUUUUUCUUCUUGUAGUGCUCCUUCUUCUUGCCACCUUUCUUCUUGUAUUGCUUCUUGUCAUUUUUCUCAUCAUCACUUGAGUCAUCUUGCUCUUUGUUCUUCUUCUUGUACUUGUCCUUCUUGGGCUUUGGACAUUGAUGAGCAAGAUGACCAAGCUCACCACAAUUGUAGCAAUCCAUCUCGGAGAUGGGCUUCCUCUUGCUACUUGUGAAGAACUUCUUCUUCUUGGAGUCAAAGUUGACUCCAUUCUUGUUGAGCUUCUUCAACAUCUUGGUGGUUCUUCUCACCAAGAGGGCAAUAGAUGCAUCAUCAUCACUUGAAGUUGAUGACUCAACUUCAAUCUUCUUGGCUUUGCCCUUGUGAGAAGCUUUGAGAGCCAAGUCCUUCUUUUCUUUCUUGGCCGAUGAGGAGCUAUCUUGAGGGUUCAUGUGCAUGUACAUCUCAUGAGCAUUGAUCUUCCCCAAUAUGGUGGUUGGUGUAGCGGUGGAAAGAUCGCCUUGAUGAAGCACGGUUACUAUGUGCCCAUAUUUCUCAAUAGGGAGCACACAUAGUAUCUUCCUUGCUACAUCCGCCGUACUCAUUUGUGUAAGCCCAAGUCCAUUUAGCUCCUCUACAAUGACAUUCAAGCGAGAAUACAUUUCAUUAGCAUUGUCUUUAGGAAGCAUUUCAAAAGUAUUAAGCUUGUUCAUCACUAGGUGAUAGCGUUCCUCGCGUUCACUCUUAGUUCCCUCAUGGAGCGCACAAAGUUCCUUCCAAAGUUCAUUGGCGGUUUUGUGGUUCCGAACACGGUUGAACACUUCUUUGCAAAGACCUCUAAAGAUGUGGUUUUUGGCCUUUGCAUUCCACUUCUCGUUUUCUUGCUCUUGUGGAGUAAGAGCGGUGGCUCUUUCCGGAGGGGCAAACCCUUCGGUCGCGGCUUUUAGGCACUUUACAUCGCAUGCCUCAAGGUAUGACUCCAUCCGUAUUUUCCAAUACGGGAAGUCAUCCCCAUCGAACAUGGGUGGCGGUCCAUCCCCGUUAGACAUCUUUCUCUAGGCGGUGAAGCCUAAAUAAUGAGCACUAGGCUCCGAUACCAAUUGAAAGGAUCAAGAUGCCCAAGAGGGGGUGAAUUGGGCUUCUCUAAAAAUUUAAGCAACCUAUAAGCUCCAAUUCAACCCCUUGUGCCUAGUGUGACUUAGAGAGCUACCGGAUAAAAGUUUUGCAACCUAGUUCCAAUCCUAUUCUAGCAUGGCAAUUCUAAGAAUGUAAGAGCACAAAGUAAAUGCUAGAAAGUAAGGGAGUAGUGGAAGAAAAUGCUCGGCGAUGUUUUGCCGAGGUAUCGGAGAGUCGCCACUCUCCACUAGUCCUCGUUGGAGCACCCGCGCAAGGGUCUUGCUCCCCCUUGGUCCGCGCAAGGACCAAGUGCUCUCUACGGGCUGAUUCUUCGACACUCCGUCGCGGUGAAUCGCCCAAAACCGCUCACAAGCUUGACACGAGCCACCCACAAGAACUCCGGGUGAUCUUCGUGCCUCCAAUCACCACCGAACCGUCUAGGUGAUGGCGAUCACCAAGAGUAACAAGCAAAGAACUCUCACUUGACCCAAACAAGGCACUAGAGAGUGAUGGAUGCACACUUGACUCUUGGAACUCACUAGAGGAUGAUUCUCUCAAGAAUUCACUCAAAACUCAAUCCUCUCUAGGCUCUUUGCAACUCUCUUGCUCCACAACAAGUUUCUCUGAUGUUCAAAUGGGCAAGAGAGGUCUCAUGGACGAAGUGGAGAAGUAUAAAUACUAUCCACGAAGUCCAAAGGUCGGCCAACCGUUUUCCACUGAAAACGGGGUCACCGGACGCACGUUAUGUUGCACCGGACGCGUUGCACCGAGCGUCCGGUGUGACAUAACGGCUACCUGCGCUUUUCUCUGACAGGUCACCGGACGCUAACUCGCAGCGUCCGGUGCACCGUCCGGUGCUCGGGGAAACUUUACAUGUUCCCUGCGCAUGGGACCGGACGCUACCCGGCGCGUCCGGUGCUAGCGUCCGGUGCUCAGGGGAACUUUGCAAGCUCCCUGGGUAAGGGACCGGACGCUACACGGUGCGUCCGGUGCUAGCGUCCGGUGCCUAACCCUAAGCACGGCACUGUUCUAACGGCUAAGGACCUCACCGGACGCACUCACAGAGCGUCCGGUGCAGCGUCCGGUGCCCCUUUGGGCACCCAAACUUCGUCGAAACGCGAUCGCUCCAACACGAAGUUUGUUCCUCUCGAUCUAAGGACUAUCUCUAAGCUGCCUAGUGCUGGGUUUACCAAGUGUGCACCACACCUAAACCUAAAGCCUUGCCUAAGUCAAGCUACUAGAUCAAAGCCCCUCUUAAUAGUACGGUCAAAGGAAAAACAAGGUCCUAAACUACUCUAAGUGCCCUUAUUCACCAUGUGGCACUUAGACCUAGUCUAGUCUUGACGAUGUCCAUCCAACCUUUGAAAACCGAAACGAUUUCCACUAUUAAGUAGGCAUGUACGUCCCUGUCCAUCGAGUAUCUAUAUACCAUGACCUUACCUAUGACUUUGCCUCUGCAAAACACACGUUAGUCAUAGUAACCAAUAAUGUCAUUAAUCACCGAAACUCUAGGGGCCUAGAUGCUCUUUCACCGCCGAGCGCUCGAGGUUGCUAGAGUCGGUAGAGAAGAGGAAGAAGAGGCAGGGGAUGUGCGAACUAGUGCGGAGACUACAGAUUCAGGCCUGAUGAGCUCACUGGUCGCCCCAACCUCGCUGGAGCCGGAGAAGAGGGACAUGGAGUGGCAGAGGAGGAGGAGGAGGUAGAAGGUUGCCUGCAUAGUAGAUCCGGGCAUGGGGGAGCUAGAUCCGCCCACACCCACACCGGAGAAGCGUUGUCGGUCAUCUUCUCUGUGUCGGCGUCGGAACUACCACAGAGGCUUCGCGAGAGGGAGAGAAGGGAUGCAGAGGGUCGAGCCGCCGCCGUCCUUGCCGCCCAUUGGAUUCCUGGCGUCGAGCUCCGGCGGCGGCCCAGGCGAGAAGGCGUUGGGGAGGGACCUGCGGCGGCGGUGGAUGGAGCCGCCCGGUCGCCCUCGAGGGAGAGCGACGCGGGCAUCGGGUGUUUUUCCUUUCGCCAAUAAACAUAUUAGAGGAUACAAAUGUUAAUAAAAUGUUUUCUAUAAAUCUAGCUAAACUUAAAAACUUUGAUUUAUUCAAAAACGAGAUUUUUCAAGACGUGCGGAGGCCGUGUUGUGGAAUCUUUUUAGCUGAUAUAGGCUGUGGAAGAUUGAUUUUCAUUUGUUUGGAUAUAUUCAAAAGAUGCAUAUGCACUCACUAAGAAUCCAUACAAAAAUCUAUUUCUCUUUGGGAAAAGCAAGCAACCAAAGCCAUGGAAGCUAAACCUCCUCCCUCCUUUUAUGGGCAUGAGAGGCACAUUCUUUUCUUUCUUUCUUUUUUGGCAGCACCAGCUGUAUUACAUCAACCGCAAUAUGAACAUUCUUCAUAUGUUACAUGCCACAUGAUAUUACACUGAAAGUUGCAAUGCCAGCUUCAUUAUGAACCAAUUUUCAAUGGCACGUCACGCAGUCUCUCAAGAUACUCCUCGCAGCUGUGGACACGUGUGGUUCUUGCAUUUUGGAGUAUUGGAAUUGCUUGCAUGCUUGUGUUUCUUGCCAAGCGUCGCACAUCAUUCCACGUCGACAUAUACAUGGCCGGCAGAAAACACUUAUGAGUUAUGAUCGAGGACACCGGUGAUAUUGAUGCAUCCUGCCAACUGCCAACUGGUCUAGUAUAUAGCUAAACUAUAGUGACUAGCUAGGGUCUUAAAUUUCGGUAUUAAUUUUUUUCUGGUCACCCCAAAAUUACCAAAUUGUGAAUUUCGACUGAAAUCUCGCUGAAUUAUUUUAAGACUUAAACAUGAGGUAUUAUUUCUCUAAAUUUCUGAGCUCUGAAAAAUAUUAACAUUUAGGAUUACACAUCUAUUGAGUUAAAGAAUAUUCAAUAUAAUCAUAAAUGUUCGUAUUUUUUCGUAUAGUUUGAUCAAACUUAACAUCAUUUGGUCUUUUGAAGAGAGAGAAUUAUGCUCCCCCCUUUUUUUGAUCAAACUAACCAAACAAUCCUGUCGACCAUCGUUCGUAGUACAUGCUCGUGCUACGGCUUGGUCUUCCUCUCUGGAGUCGACGAUGCACGCACCCACUAGGUUGAAUGAACGACGCGUUCCAAACCCUGAAGUUGAAGAGAUCACCCCAGCUGUGACCAGUGAGGCAGUGACCAACACGACUUUCAGGUUUAAAUUCAGUCGCUUUAUAACGCACUGCGGCAUGACUGGUGAGCCUCCGGUCCUCUCCAACCAUCUGCAGUUCAUGGAUCCGUGCAAGUACACAUUGCGUGCGUACUUUUCCAGCCAGUAGCUGAUUAGUUCACCUAAUCCAAUCCGCGGGCUAAUUAACUCCGGACACAUUUUUGGCAGAUCGCAUCACAUGCCUUGCUGCCUCCCCGUCACGGGGCUGCAAGGCGCCAGCGUGCGCCACCCCUCGCUGCCUGUUUUGGGCGAUCAACACUGUGGGUUGGCAACUAACCGGUGCUGCACUACUGACACAGUGUCUGGGAAAAAUUGUGCUAUAUGUCCCACAUGCCACAUGAGCCAAAUGAGCUCACAGGAAACUGCACAAGACAAGAAUCUCUGCACAUAUAUAUGUACGUCUAGCAGCCCGACAUUGCCGCUGCAUGUUUGCAAUUCAAAAGUAGCCAAUGGAUGGACAAUAAUACUCCAGUGGCUAGGUAUGUAUGUAUAUGGUAGUGGCAACGUAUCGAUGUGCUGUAGUAUUGUAUAUGUAUAUAUGUGGUGGUUGUAGUAUAUGGCAACGGAGGGCCAGGCCUAGAUGGGACAAACAUUGUAUAAUAAACUCGGUGGACUUGUCCGGCUGCGGAAAUAGAAUAUCUCCACCAUAUAUAUAUAUAUGUAGGAGUUCAUGUCAACCAAGCAGCCAAGUCGAAUCCCACAUAUAGUAUAUAUAAUUAUUUAUCCAGUAACAAAGAAACUAUAAUAAUAAAGGAAGAUAUCAUUUUCGCAUCCGUGCUUCCUCCCCUCGCAGCAUAUUCUUAGUUUCUUACGCGUAGGAUUACGGUAUUACCAGGGCUUUGUUUAGUUCACUUCGAAAUCCAAAAAGUUUUCAAUAUUCCCUGUCACAUCGAAUCUUACGGCACAUGCAUGAAGCAUUAAAUAUAGACGAAAACAAAAACUAAUCACACAGUUUGACUGUAAAUCACGAGACGAAUCUUUUGACUCUAGUUAGUUUAUGAUUGGACAAUAUUUACCACAAACAAACGAAAACGAAAGUGCUACAGUUCCAAAAACUUUUCAGUUUUCGGAACUAAACAAGGCCCAGUUUAUAGUUACCACACCAUCAGGCUCGGGAGAAUUCUGACGGAAUAAUUCCAUGUCGCGAUGUUACCUCGUCGUGUCAGGGGCGUGAAAACACACGAGCGGGCGGAUUAGCCCAGGGCGGCGCGGUUUCCGACGGUGAUGCCGUCAUAUGCCGACCUCUGUGAGUCUCUGACGCUGAGCGAGAGCGAUCGUACUCGUACGUGCGGCGAAGUGUGGAGUGGCGGAUUUCGAUCAUGGGCGCGUGCACAUGAUCUGCUAGCUAGCUUGAUCCAGUUCGAGACACGCCAUCACGUGCUUACGGUUGCCGUCACGUCGAGGCGCUUUUAAGAGUGCCGUUGUGUAUAACAUUUUCGUUUAUAUUUAAUGUGACGAAUAGUAAAAUAGUAAAAUAAAUAAAUCAUUGUUAACUGCUUAUAACAUUUUCGUUCAUUUUUUGUACAAAUAGUAAAAUAAAUAAAUCAUUGUUAAAGUAUUUUUAUUGACAGAACAAGUCAUAAUAGAAUAAAUAACAUUUAUAAUUUUUAAAAUAAGACGAACGAUUAAAUAAGAAGUCUGAAAAUAAAAAACGACACUUUCAAUGGGACGAAGGAAGUACCGGUUAGCUAGCUACUACUGUUCGCUUGUCUUAUAAGCCGUACGUUUUCUGCCAGCCAAUAGUAUUUUUCUCUCAAAACAAAUCAACGAACAAUAAUUUCAGCUAUGACUUUUCACACCAACGAACAUGUUGAACUUUCAUAUGGUGGAAGGUGAAUGUUCGAGUUCAAAUUUUAAAUCCUCAACUAAACUAGGAUGCACCUAUCUUUCUGGAUUUAUUAUUUCUUCGCUGUGGUUGGUAAAAUCCGUCUGUCUCACCCUAACAACUUGGGUCAGUCGGGCCUUCUAUCUCCCACUAGCAUCAUGGGGCGGUUGGUGCCCGUGGUCAGUAGGAGGUCGAUCCGCAUGGUUGCACGAGACGACGAUGUUGGUUGUGGGCAUGGGUGCAGAUGCUCUCUAGGAGCGAUAGUUGAGUCAGACGAGCCUCUUAUCUCGCCCUAGCAUCCUAGUACCCAACUCUCCUAGCCUUUGCCACCGUCCAACUCCCUUUUUUUCUGUUCUCUCUCAUGCUCUGACCGUUCAGUAUGACGUUAGUCAUGGGCAUAUGACGGUUGAUCCUCGUUGGGUCCGACGUCCUAAGGCUCUUGUCUUGCCGUAACAUCCCAGCACCAACUCUCCUGGUCUUCGCUGCCAUCCAUUUCCUCCUUUUCUCUUCUCUUUGAUGCUCUAGCCCUUCAGUGUGACGCUAGUCAUGGGCCUAGGGCGGCCAGUCCUCCUCAGGCCAGUAGGAGGCUCAUUCUGCAUGGCUAGUGGUUGGCUCUAAUCUGCAUAGGUGACGAACAGUGCUGGUUGUGGGCCUAGGGUAGCUAGUCCUCCCUUAACAAAGAGGCUAAUUCCACGUGGCCAAUCUCCAAUUCAGCUAGGGUUGCUUGCUUUCUAGCAGUUGGUGAUGGAUGUGUGCCUAGGGCGCCGAUGCACCCUUAAGAGUAGCAGUCUAGUCUCUUCCAUGUUGCGACUUCCUAGAAGGGCAUGUUGGCCCCUUGGGGUUAUGACCAAUCCCCUUACCUCUUUGCUCCUCGUCUCCUUGGUGGGCUUAGGGCGUCUUUCAGUGGUUGCGUGCGUGGUGGUGUCUAUUGUCGGUGGGGACGUGCUAAUAUGUGGUCACUGGCACUUUUCUUCGGGAUUGGCAUCCUCUACGUAGGGCGCUGAUGGGUUGCGAUAGGUCAUUUACUCGAGGACAAGGUGAAAGCCCAGAUGACGACAUUUGUGGAUGUUGCUUCCUCUAUGGAGGCAUCCUCUCCAUACCUCUCAUCUUGCCCUACAUGGUUUUGCAUGUGGAAACUUCUCUAUGGUGGCUGGCAUCAUUUACUUUCUAAAGGCUUUGCUAUGAAUUUCUAGCUCCAUUGUUCCUCUAUGGCGGAGUCCUUUGUUGGUGGUGCUCGGUUUUGUGUAGAGUAUGUUAGUUGUGUUGUAUGUUGGUGUCCAAGAUAGUUAUUUCGCUAGUGGUUGUUUGGGAUGUGGUGCCCUUGACUUAGUAGUUAGGCUAUGUUUCGACCAAGUUGUUUUUAGGUGAGUCUGGUUGUAGUUGAGUUAAUACUUGGUUCAUUUCGAGCAAACAAAUUCUAUAUAGUUUACACGCAGAGUGGAGUUGAUAGUUGCUGGUUGUUCAGUCAUUGCGUUAUAGCUGUAUGAGGUGAAUGGUGUUUUCCCCCCAGAUAUUUGUUUUUUAUAUGAUUUCCACUCCAAAAGCUAGGCUACCCUUUUGUUCUUUUAUUUACUUCGUCUAAUAAAAUUUGCCACAAAGUUUUUGCCGCCCCUUUUGAAAAAUGAUUGUACGUGCCUGUACCGUCAUUAAAAAAAACUAAUUGAUAGUCAAUGUACUUAUCAACUCCGAUUAAUUUGAACUAACUUUUAGCCUAACUGAUUUCUCCCUUCCUGGAAGGUCCCUAAGCUUGAACAUUAAGGCCCUGUUUGGUUCCCCUUGCUAAAUUUUAGCUAGCUAAACUUUAGUCACUUUAGUAGCUAAAGUUCCAAACACAUUGAGUAAAAGGAGCUAAAAUAGUUUAGUUUCAUUAGUCAUUCAAGAGUAGCUAAAAUAAUUUUAGCUAGCUAAAAUUUAGCAAGGGAAACCAAACGGGACCUAAAUUCGGUGUAUACUUGAAAGAUGUAUGUCCGAUAAGAUUUGAACACUAAACUACGUGUAUGGACUGCUUGGAGUCGACGAUUUGUCGCAAUAAAAAUAUCUACAACUAGCCUUAAUGGUACGACGUCAGUACGAGUACCUCAAAGGCCAACAGUUCUCUGCAUCUGUAUCUACACAUCUACUAUAUCUAUAUUUAUAUUUAAUAUUAUAUACUAUAGUGGAAUAGUAUUCUUUUAACUGUCUUUUUUUUUUUAAUUUUCAAAGUGCCCUCGCAUCACUCAUGAUAUGAUCUGUAUUUAAUUUAGACUUACCAAGUUAGAAGUAUAUGUUUAGGGCAUUUACAAUGCAAACUCUAUUAUUACGUCGAACAAUGUGGACUUAGAGUCUAAAUAAGACUUAUAGUCUUAUUGUUUUCUAUCUUUUUUUUAAAAUAAAUAUGCUGCCACAUCAGCAAAAUACUAUAAAUAAUAUGUAAUUAAUUAUCUUAGACUCUAUGAUAGAGUCUUGCAUUGUAAGUGCCCUUAUAAAUCAAAUUCCAAUACAUAUCUCUACAACUAAAAAGAGCCGGAUGUUAUCGUCUGAUAGUCUUCAUCGCUUCACCCGUACGAUUGACCGCAGGUACGAUGUUAACUUCCCAAAAAAUACCACCCUUCCAGGGCUCCACCACAUGUCCCUUCACAUAAUGCCACCAACCGGUUAAUCGACCUCCACGCACCCUCCCGACGCCGCAUCCCCUCCACUCCGCCCCCACGGCCGCCGCCCCUCGCCCCCACUGCCGACGCCGACGCCGCCGCAUCCCCUCCACUCCGCGAGGCCCCUCCCCUCCGCCCCCUACUACCGCCGCCGCCGCAGCCCCUACACUCCGCGAGUCUCCUCUCCUCCGUCCCCAUUGACGCCGCCGCCGUCGCAGCCCCUCCCCUCCCCCGGUUGACGCCGUCGUCGUUCCUCCACUUUGCAAUCCCCUCCGCUCCCACUGACGUCGCCACUGCCGCCCCUCCCCCGCGCGAUCCCCUCCGCCCCGGACCUAGCGAAGCCGGAGUUCGGGCUCGCCAAGCUUCUGCCAGGGCAGGACCACGCCGAACACGACAACGGUCCUGAGCGCCCCCUGCGACCACGAGUGCGAAGCUGGCGCCGGUAGGUUGGGCAACCUCGAUGGAAUAGGUAAUUCCACAACACUGGAAUAGGUAACUCUCGAGCCACAAUCUCUAUCAUGUUUGGAUAUUAUCACCAGCACAUAUUACUCGUGUGCAAAAGCUAACACGUGCUUAUUAUUUUUUUAACAUACAAAUUUUUCUCUCCAGCAUUAGAGAGUACAGAUAAUCUAGAAUAAGUUAUCUUUCAGUGAAAUUUUCCCUGAAUCAAUCAGUUAUAUCUUUCAGUGAAAUUGUGCUAUAAUCAAGCAUCCAUUUUCUAUCAUAGCCGUGUUGUUUAUUUACUAAAUAAAGGAACUAAACUUGAAACUGUACUUGAAUAUGGACCAAAGAAUCAAACUAAUGUUUAAAUAUACGAUCACCUUGCACACCACCGAUAUAAUACUAAAAAAUGAGGAACACACAUAGUCUCUUAAUAUAUGACACAUGCAUGUAUCAGAGACACCACGCAAGAGCAGAAUUGUUCUUCUAGAAUUUCUGAAAGUAUUCAGAUAAAUAAUAGCAGUUCUCCAGAUGACUCUUCUACAGCAUGGCAGCAACAGCUCUUUCUAGAGAAAUUUGUUCAGCCUAUCACAGAAUCCUACUUGAUACUGAAGAGUUUAAUCGCAUGAUGAAAAAAAAUACUUUGAUAAUCAGAAUCCUUCCUGCGUGUGAUCCCAGUUAUAUUUUGUGGCUGACAUUUCCUUUAAACAAUAUUUAUGAAUCAAAUAAUCCUGACCUCUCUAUGCGCUACCAAGUUGAGUCUUCAUAAUAACCUUUAGGCAGUCAGCUCAAGUCUUACUAAAGUACUGUGAUACAUAAAAAAGAAAUGCCAUAAAAUUAGAGUCUAAUAACAGUUUUGCAAGUUACAGAGUAAGCUAAUCAUAAACCUUGGACUAAUAGAUAACAGAUCAAAAAGGUCACAUAAACAAAAAGGCAGCAUUAAUAACAUGCAAUUAAACUGCUCAUUUUCCUGAAUUUAGGUAGACUUCACAAUGCUAACAGUAGCUUACAGCACUUCAGAAGCAUAAUACUAUGGCUCGGAGUGCAUAUUUGUGUCUUAGUCAUACAUGCUUGUCAUGUCUUUUGAUUGUUUGUGUUGGAGAUCACAGGUUACAGGCUUAAGGACAUUGGCCAACCUAACCAGUAGCCAUCUUAUCACAAUUCACAUUGUACUUCCUCUGGAAGCUAGAAAUAGUCCACUAACUAUAUGGAAACAAAUAAAUCUCUAAUGGACAACACUAACUAAAAAUAGAAUACAUUAUUUGUUGCUGAGUAUUGUAAAACUACAUAUUUUCCUUGUUUAAGAAUUACUACAAUAUGUCAUUAAUUACGAGCUUCUGAAUGCUGAAGUUCUCCCAUUACAAAGUAAUAGGCUAUCAGCAUGGCAGCAUCUUUAAAAAUAUCUAUUUUUAAGUAUGCUCACAUAUCAGUUGUAAUUUGUUCUACUAAAAUUUACAUCUGUAAUGUGCAGUGGGACAAUCUCGCCGCCAGACGACCUCGCUAAGCCUCUGCCAGAGCAGGAGCGCGGAGGACAGGGCAACGGUCCUGCACUGCCAUCAUCGACUGCUUGCCACUUCCAGGUUACCUUGUUUUGCUCUUUUAUUCCUCCCUAUAUUCUCAAGAUUUGAAUUGAAUGAGUGGCGUGCGUGUGUUGCAACGGAAAAAUAGUCACAACCUAAAGACUGAACCAUGACACGUUGAUAGUAAAUUUAGAACUAUGUGAAGCAUUGAGAUACAUGAAGCUCAAUAUCAAAUAGCUAAUUUUCAGCUAAAACAGUAAAAUACUUCAGGAUUGCAUCACAUCUAUUAGAGCUAACUGAACACAAGACUAAAGCAACAUUGAAAUAAUUUAUUAACUCUAUAAUGAGAGCUGAGGACUGAUUUUUACUCGUGCAGUCAUAUGCAUAUUUCUGAUAAGACCCACAUGUGAGCCAAUAUGGUAAGAGAGAGCUCCCUAUUUGAUACAAAAGCAAUUACCAAGCCGGCAACCUAAUUUGCUAAGUUCUUUAGAACCAGUACCAAUGCAUCACCCUUCCUACUUGACUUGUUAUGGUAGUUUGCACCCUUUCGAAGCAUGGCUCACUUAUUGUAGGCGUAUCAGUUAACUGUAGGCCAAUCGAGUUGCCAAAAAUUAACCGCUCAAUCAAGUUGGUAAUUGUCGAUUGUUGAUUUGGAAAAUAGAAAACAAGUGCAUUAAAAAUAGAAAACAAGGUUAGGAGCAUGGCAUGGUGGCUGGUUGGCUGGCUUAAUUGAUUCUUGUUUGAUUAUUUGCAAGUGAUCAUCUUUUUUGGCAAUGUCGUGGUCCUUGGUUACGUUGCUUCAUUUACCAAAACUUUUCUCAAAGUCACCCUCACUCAGCCACCAAAUAUAUCUAGGUUCAAUAUUACUUGUAAACUUAUUUCUUCAAAUAUGCUAAGCUAGAUUUACAAAAAUGCUCAACAAGGUUUACAAAUCUGCCUUUACUUUCUGAACUUCCAUGUACCAUGACUAAAACUGCCAAUUGACAUUGUUAAUUUUAAAUUGAGCACAAAUCUUUCAAUAUAUCUUAUCAUUCAAUAGUAGUUUGAGGAAAAGACAUUGCUAACAAUCCGAUAAAUACUAAUAUGAAGAAAAAUCUAAAGUUUUUUAGGGUUCCAUUAAAUGGAGAAUAGCGGUUCACGUACACCAUUCGGAGACAACACCAACACUACCAAUGGAGGUACUCCUGCGAAACAUCAUUUUACUAUAUUAUAAUUUUACUACAGGAUGUAUCAUGUCCAAUUCAUGACUGUGAACAGGAAGAUCUAGAGUUCGCAAAAGGGAGACAGAUAGCGCUCGAUGGCACGGAAUGUCUCAAGAGAAAAGGGACGAUACAAAUAGAAAACGUCGAGAAGCGUAUAAAAGAAGAAAGGAGAGAAAGGAGCAACACCUAUGUAUCGAAAAUACCAAUGGUAGUAUAGUAGAAAUGUUGGUGAAUGACAAUAUAAUACACAUAUUACUAUUGGUGAUUCUUAUAUUUGAUGUGUCACAAUUGGUAGAUGGUGUGGAUGCAUCAAACAAGGAAAAUAUUGAUCCUACUGAAACAGAUGAUUGGUUGCAUAAGGAUGAUUCAUUCCAUGCAAAAAACAUUGAUGAUGAACUUAUAUCCAAUCAGUUACCAGGUAAUUAAAUUGUUGCUAAUAUGGGACUCAUGACUACAUUUUUGUGUUGGUGAAUCUAUCAGUAGCUUUAUAUAUGAAAAGAGAUUUGUUGACGGAUAUCUGGUGUAUUCUUGUUGUUUUGCUACUAUUUAAACUCAAACACAACUAUGUAGGUGGUGAGGUAAUUACUGCUCGCAACAUGGUUAUGAAUUAUCAAAAGCAAUCACAAUGCACCCAGGAGCAAAUCAUGGCUCAUCGUGCGUCGUCUAUGAAGAGCCAUGCAAACAUGACACAUGCACAACGGGAACAAAGGAAAAAGCGACAAAAGCUUUACAAUCAAGCUCCAUCUCGUAAAGAGGCAAUGAAAGUUACUACAAACCGCUUUAGGGAGAUACGGAGACACACCUUAAAUAGUGAGUCCAUCGCAAUGGAGAACCCACACUUUAAUCCAACGAUGGAGUGGCCCAUUGCAAACUCAUCCGGGCCUCAGGGUCCCACAAUAAGCCCCAGUGAUUGGACUAUCCCAGAAUCCAGUGCAACACCUAUUUGCUUCCCCCCACAAGUGAAAGAGGAGACAUAUGAUGAUGAAGAUGAAUGCGGUGAUAUACCAUCUGGUCACACGACACAUAGACAAAAUGUACCAUCUGGGCAAAGACAUGUAUUGUUAGCGCAUCGUAACACUAUGUUCGAGCGCCGCAUCGGUCAAAGCACAGGAGUAUCUAAUAAUGAUGGUGAAGACCACAAGGAUGAAAAUAUGCCCUUACCUCAGUCAACUAUGACGAACAACGGUAAAUAAUGAGGUAUCCCUAUCCCCAUUCCUUGACAUGAAAAAACAUUAUUCCUAUCUUAACCAUGUCCAUUAUGUGAUUGACAGAAAGCGCUAGACCAAGCAAUCAACUUGCUUCAGCUACACCUGAACAACCAUUAUUUGAUGAUACAGGUAAUUUGUACUACUUUUAACAUUGUGUACAAUAUUUGCUUUCCUUUAAUGUUACCUAAGUUGUAAUAUAUCAUGGCACUAUGGCGAUCACAGAUGAUGAUGAGGGCGAUAUAUUUGAAGAUGAUGAGGAAGAGGAUGAGGGAUACUUGUUUGCUGGUCAAGGUAUUUGUACCAAAUACCGAUUACCUUUCUAAACAUCCACUCAUUUAUAUAACUUUUAUUUUUAUGUUCAAAUCAACAGAGGAAUCAGAUGACGAUGUCCAAAGUGAUACUACCGAGGAAGACACGACUUCUAACCUUGAAGGACCUGACCCGUAUGAAGUGGUGUAUAGUAACAUGCCUAGGGAGACACACAUGCUAAAACCUGUCCCAGAUUGCAAACAUUGUGGAGCAAAGAGGUUUCCAAAAGAACCUCCUGGGUUUUGUUGUCGCAGCGGGAAGGUUGAGCUGAAUGCGCCCGUCAUACCAAACCAGCUUAUGAGGCUUUGGACAAGCUCUGACGCGGAUGCUAGGCACUUUCGUAACAAUAUCAGAUUUUUCAAUGGCCACUUCUCUUUCACUUCCCUGUAUUGUCGCCUCGACAGUGCUACUGCUAACAUUAGAAACAGCGGCAUAUAUACUUUUCGUGCACAUGGCAUGAUCUAUCACAACAUAAGGUCAUUUGGGAGAGAAGAUGGUAAGGAGCCCAGGCAUCUUGAGCUUUACUUCUAUGAUGACGAUCCGAGCCUUGAGUACCGGUACCGAAGGUGUCGUGAAGAGCAGUAUCAAAAAGAUAAAGAAGUUAUAAAUAGACUGGUGGCCAUCCUUCGUGAAAACCCGUACUCACAACAUUUGAGGAGUCUGGGGAACACUGAACACCUCGAGGACUAUCGUGUGACACUUAACCUCGAUCAGCGAUUGGACCAAAGGACAUACAACGUGCCGAUGGCUUCAGAGGUGGCUGCUGUUUGGAUCGAGGGUAGUGAACUCCUUGGUCAAUUUCAGAAUAGUGUUGUCCUACAUGGGAAAGAUAGGAGUAGGCAUGGCAUCCGAUCAUACCAUGGAUGCUAUGAUGCUCUUUCAUACCCACUCUUUUUCCCUAGAGGUGAGCUUGGAUGGCAUAUGGAUAUCCCAAAGAAAGGUGUUACUAUGGAGGAUGUCAACACGGCUCGUGCCCUGCGUAAGGCUCGUAGUGGUAUUGAAGAAGAAGAAACAGGUUUGUAUAUCUUCUUGUACUUUUCAUGCAUAUCAAACCAUUAUCACAUGAACACCUCUAAUACCAUAGUUUUUUCAGACUCUCCGGGAAAUUUAUGUGUUUCUGUGCGUGACUACUACUGCUACAAGUUCCAGAUACGACCAGGAAUAUUUAAUCCCAUACUUUAUGGCAAGCGUCUUUUUCAACAAUUUGCAGUGGACACAUACAUCAAAAUCGAGAGUUCUCGAUUGGAUUACAUACGCAAUCAUCAAACUGAGAUUAGGGCUGAUCUCUACCAAGGAUUGGUUGAUAGCCUACAUGCUGGUGAGGGUAGAUCAGAAGCUGUUGGAAAGCGGACAGUGAUGCCUUCAUCGUUUAUCGGAGGCCCGAGGGACAUGAGACGUAGAUACAUGGAUGCCAUGGCACUGGUGCGAAGGUUUGGAAAACCAGAUAUAUUCCUGACUAUGACAUGUAAUCCAAAGUGGGAUGAGAUCACACGUGAGUUGUACCCUGGACAAACACCACAGGAUCGUCCAGACCUUAUUGAUCGGGUCUUUAGGGCAAAACUAGAAGAGCUUAAGCACAUGUUGUUAAAAAAGGAUAUCCUUGGAAAGGUUCGUGCACACGUGUAUGUUGUGGAGUUCCAGAAGAGGGGUCUACCGCAUGCACAUUUUUUGCUAAUCAUGGACAGACGCUACAAGAUCACGUGCCCAGAGCAGUACGACCUUCUCAUCUCUGCCGAACUCCCAAACAAGAAGAAGUAUCCAGACUUGUAUAAAAUGGUUACAAAGCAUAUGAUGCAUGGACCUUGUGGAGUACUUAAUCGCAAUUGUCCGUGCACAAAGGGCCGUGAAUCAUGCAAGAACCGUUACCCACGACCUUUCUGUGAUGCCACAUUACAGGGCAAGGAUUCAUACCCAGUUUAUAGACGACGAGACAAUGGUAGAAAAGAAAAAGUUCGCGGACACGAGCUUGACAAUAGAUGGGUCGUGCCUUAUAACCCAUACCUCCUACGUUUGUUCAACUGCCACAUCAAUGUUGAGGCGUGUGGGAGCAUCAAGGCCGUGAAGUAUUUGUUUAAGUACAUUUACAAGGGUCAUGACCGCACGUCUGUGGCUGUGAGAGAGGCUGACAAGGAGGACAAUGAAGGAAACAUCGAUGAGAUCAAACAGUACAGGGAUGCUAGAUGGGUAACUCCACCAGAAGCCUUGUGGAGGAUAUAUGGUUUUGAUAUAAGUGAUAGGUCCCCUUCGGUGUUGUCCUUGCAGCUCCAUCUUCCUAAUAUGCACAUGGUGUCAUUUUACCAGCGCGAGGGUGUUCGACGUGUGCUUAAUCGUCCAGGUGUUGAAAGGUCGAUGCUCACAGCCUACUUUGAGAAGAACAACACAUCUGAACAUGCUCGCGGUAUAUUGUAUCGAGACUUUCCUGAGUACUAUAAGUGGGACUCACAAGGAAAACAAUGGAUUAGGAGGGCACAAAAGAAUCAUUUAAGACAGAUUGGAAGAGUUGUAUGUGCCAAUCCGGCUGAAGGGGAGCGUUACUAUCUUAGGGUGCUUCUAAACCACGUGGCUGGUGCUACCUCGUUCACUGAUCUAAGGACAGUGUCUGGCGAACUACUACCAACUUUCCGUGAAGCUGCAGAAAGAAGGGGCCUCAUUGAAGCGGACAACACGCUGCACGAGGGCCUUGCUGAAGCUACUCUGUGGAUGAUGCCAUAUGCACUACGAAGGCUGUUUGCAACAAUUUUGGUUUUCUGUGAGCCGAGUGAUGUAAUAGAACUCUGGGAAAAGCAUAAGGAGGCAAUGUCAGAGGACUACAGGCGCAAUAACCAAUCUAGCUUUGCAGUGGAGCAGAUGGUCCUCAUAGAUAUUCGAAAGUUGUUAGAAUCAAUGCAGAAGGACAUAAAGAUGUACCCACUUCCUGAUAUCGAUGACACAUAUGAUCCAUCCGGUGAUAUUCCUAGGGAGAUUUUUGAGGAGGCUAGCGUUGAGGCAAGCAUUGAUGACAUGGCACUAUCAAAGACUCUUAACGAGGAGCAGCAGGCAGCCUAUAACGAGAUUAUGUCUGCUGUUGAUAGCGAUAAUGGGGGUUUGUUCUUUGUGGAUGGACCUGGUGGCACAGGAAAGACUUAUCUAUAUAGGGCCCUACUUGCUACUAUACGUAGUCAGAACAAGAUUGUCGUGGCAACAGCAACAUCUGGUGUUGCUGCGUCAAUAAUGCCGGGUGGUAGAACCGCCCACUCGCGCUUCAAGAUUCCCCUCACCCUCGAUGAUGGGGCCUUUUGCACCUUUACAAAACAGAGCGGUACUGCUAAGCUGCUUCGGACCACAUCCCUUAUUAUUUGGGAUGAGGUGACGAUGAUGAAGAGGCAAGGUGUCGAGGCGCUAGACAACAGCCUCCGUGAUAUCAUGGAUCGUCCUAACCUGCCAUUUGGGGGCAAGACUGUGGUGUUUGGUGGAGAUUUUAGGCAAGUUCUUCCAGUUGUUCGAAGAGGGUCUAGGGCUCAAAUAGUUGGUGCCUCACUACGGAUGUCGUACCUUUGGAAUUCCAUGCGACAUCUCAAAUUGGUGCAAAACAUGAGGGCAAAGAGCGAUCCAUGGUUUGCAGAAUACUUGCUACGCAUCGGGGGAGGCUCAGAGGAGGCUAAUUGUGAUGAUGAAAUCCACCUUCCUGAUGAUAUAUGCAUUCCACAGACUGGGAAAGACAAUGAUCUUGAUACAUUAAUUGACUACAUAUUCCCUGCCCUCAAUGCUAAUAUGUCAAACAAGAGCUACAUCACCUCACGAGCAAUAUUAUCUGCACGGAAUGACUGGGUUGAUAUGAUUAACAUGAAGAUGAUAAGUCGUUUCCAAGGAGAUGAGAUGGUGUACCAUAGCUUUGAUAGUGCAGUGGAUGAUCCUCAUAACUAUUACCCAUCUGAGUUCCUCAACACUUUGACCCCCAACGGUCUCCCUCCACAUGUGUUAAAGCUCAAGAUUGGGUGUCCGGUCAUAUUGCUAAGGAACAUCGAUCCUGCGGGUGGACUUUGCAAUGGAACCCGGUUGGUGGUUCGAGGGUUCCAAAGAAAUAUUAUCGAUGCAGAAAUUAUGGUUGGAGACCAUGCCGGAAAGCGAAUCUUCCUACCACGGAUUCCAUUAUGUCCCUCAGAUGAUGAGAUGUUCCCGUUCCAGUUUAAGAGGAAGCAGUUUCCUAUUAGACUCAGUUUUGCCAUGACGAUUAACAAAGCACAGGGGCAGACUAUCCCCAAUGUUGGUGUGUAUUUGCCUGAACCAGUGUUCUCUCAUGGUCAGCUGUAUGUUGCACUAUCUAGAGCCACUGCCAGAUCGAAUAUUAGGAUCCUUGUUGUCCCGCCCAGUCAUAGGAAUGAUAAGAAAAAGAAGACAAAAAUAAAUGGUAUAUACACGAAAAAUAUUGUCUACAAGGAGGUCCUCACUCUAUAAAAAGGUAUUAUCUGUUUUGUAUAGCUAUUAUAUUUUCUUACAUCUGUGUCCUUUGUUACUAACAUUUAUCAUAUUCAUUUGCAUUUCAGGUAGUAGAAGAAGUUUGUGAAUAAUAGGAGACAAGUAGUGUAUGAUGAUCUUUUGGACAUGUUACUGAUUAGAUGUACUCGUUAUAUUAUAAUAUGUUUUCAAUAACUAUAUGUGAAUUUAUGUUUAUGUUUAAUUCAUAACGUGAUGAUUAUUAUUUCUAACAUUUUUCUUUUCUUCUAUGAUUAAUAUUUAGCUUUAUAACAAAUAAAUUGUUAAUGAAUAGAUGAGAUUUUACAUAUGUUCUACACGUGUAGCUAUUCAUCAUAAGAUUCUAUAUAUACCCGUAGCAACGCACGGGCACUUAACUAGUUAAAACAAAUGACGUGAACAAGCACAACUUGUCAGGCGGCAUAUGCAUAGUAAGGUAUACCUUCCGCUAGUCGUCUUUUUUUUACUUCCCAUAAUACCCUCAUGUGUCUUCCUGUUUUGUCCAUGAUUUGUAGUUUUCGAGAUGCAUCUAAUAGCAAUAUAGAAUUUCUAUGUCGUGUACUCCCUUUAUCCCAUAACACCUGACCUUCUAUACCUGUUUCAAAUUAGGGCACGUUUGAUAUAGCUCUCUUCAUUAGUGGAGUAGUUUUUUUUUUGAGCUUUGGCUAGUAGAGCUGAAACUUUUUUCUGGGUAAAAUAGCUUCUUUUAACUAUAAAAACGGUGAAAUAUCUACAAUAUAUUUUAUUUUUUAAAAUUUGUUCUUUCUCAUUUCUUUCUCACUUAUUUUACUUUUCCCCUCUUAUCUUUCUACCUUAUCUUCUCUGCACAGACUCCGCCUCUUCUUUCCUUGCCUCCAUCAUCUCUGGCCUAGCCUCACGUACACGAAAAAAGAGAAGGUUGGAGCGGGUCCACAUUCACGCAUGCACAAGAAGGCCCGCGCCUUAGCGCCGCCAUAGUGGUUGUGGCCGUGCUCUCUCACCGUCAUGGCCACAUCCAAGGUUCCCCUCAUCGUCCGCCCCCAUUGACACUCGUAGUCAUGAGCGGCUGCUGCCCACGUGCACGGAGUCGAAUUUUGGGAUAGGGACCAUAAUGACAGAGGUUGAAGUACCCGAGUAGAUGAAACUUGUUUUUUUGGCUCCAACUCCUCCAAGUGGCUCUAGUACGUGGGUUUUGAGGAUAUUCACAAUCAAAGUUGUUUUCCUAGAGGUUGUUUGGUUCAUGAAGCUCAAAAACAGCUGGUCGAUCUCACUUCUUAAUGUAUCUCCUUUUCCUAAAUACAUUUGUACUUUUCCUUUGCUUUCUCGGUGCACUACACAAUUUACCCUGCACUUUAAUUUCCAUGUCUAGACCUAAAACACCAUCUAUGAUUAGACAAAUGGUAUAUGUGACUUGGAUUCACGAGCCAUGUUCAUUCAAUUUAGAACAACUUGCAUCUCUGACUUGAAGAAGUGUUCUGUGAUGGUACAUCAUUCGAUUUGAGUAUGUAUAGGAACAAAUGACGCUACUUGUUGAAUAAAUCUCCGAGUUAGCAGAUUAUUCAGGUGACCAUAUCACAAGGUUGGAACGCGCGGACGCAAUUGCUAGUUAAAAUUAGAUCUCGAAGGGAAAAAAAUACGUUAAUCAAUCAAGCGACAUUUUCUUUCGUGAACCAAUCGUUUCACCAGAGAACUCACGGUACUUCGAUGUCCUCUGUUUUCCCGAGGGGACCCCGUCCGUCGGAUGCGAGGCACGGACGGCCCGCGUCCGGCGCCGCCCGAUCUGGGUCACGCCUCCCCUGGUCUAGCGAAACAGGGCUCUACACGUGUACGGGGCCAGAUUUCCCGCAGCCGACGUGGUUAGUGCGUCCCAUCUGGCCCCUCUGGGCCCACGCGCCAGGGAGGCCGCGCCCGCUUUUAAAUAGCUCCUCUCCCCCGGCGGAAUCGGAGGCGGCCAGGCUCCUCCCUCCUCCCCCCUCCCCCCCUUGCAAAUCCUGAGAACACCACCACUCGUUUUCCUGUCCGGGACAGGAGAAAAGGGGAGAGAGGCGAGGCGCGGUGUCCGCCCGAUCUGCUCCGCCCCGACGCAGCUGUUCCGUCGUUCUCAGUCUCAGGUAUCCGCAUUAGCCUUCCUGGAUUAAAUCCCCCCUGCCACUGUUUCAUAGAUUGCUCUGAUGAAUGGAUUGGUUGAGGAAUCGGUUACUUUUCCAUUGCCCGGGGGUUCGAUUUUGGGGUUGCUGAGCUCGGCAACAGGGUGAUAGUUCGCCGUAGCGGGCUCGUGGGCCGGCCGUCGAUUCGGCGGCGGCACUCACUGUCGCGCCGCCGGGCCGGCCCGGGCCGAGCUCGUCGUCGAUCCGUAGCGUUUGGUGCGGGAAAGUAAUGGGGAUGCGGCUGAACUCGCCGUCGCGCCUGUCGGUCGAGCUCGACAUCGAUCUCACUCACCCGCACCCUCACCCGCGGACAGCCGCAGAGGCCUUGGCCUGCUGAUGUGGAUUUGCCUAGAUGAAUCCUGGCAAAGCACGCUUGUUUCUCAUCAGAUCUGUAAAGUAGAGUGGUGCCGUUUAGAUAUUUUUGCCCGUGCAAUGGGGCCAUGAUUUCUGCCCCCCUUCUGCCGCUACCACUCGUGGUGGGAAACAUGACAUGCCAACUUUGGUCACAAACUUUUCGCAGCUCCCGUUAAUCUUGUGGAUAAAAGCUGUGCUACCUUUACAGGUCUUUUGAGGCCAAAGGCAGCCUCUUUUUUUUCGGCGUUCGGUCCCUCCAUGUUCGGCAUCGCUGCACCUGCGCCGCAUGAUGCUCUGCAUUUGGCGGUCAACUGCUCUGUUUUUCGAGAGCGGAGUUGGCGAUGACCGCACACAAGAAUUGACUGACCUUUAGCUCGUGCAAUUGCAGCAUCGACGAAGCAACUUGUUUUGCUUUGACACAUAAAGAAAUAUCUACUUCCCCAGAUGGGAAACCGUAUAUGCUUUCUAGUGAUCAGGUGCUAGGAAUUUGGAGUAGAAAAAAAUAGAGCGUGUUUUCUUUCAAUCUCAAAUCUCAGUCAUGACGCACGCGCCCGAGGGCAGGCCGGCGGCGGGGGCCGCGGCUCGUUCCGUGGUGCUUGUCUGCUUGACCUAGAAAAAGGCAUCGUGAUGAACGACGCCCCACCGUCGGAUGUCUUUGGAUUUUGGACGGUGGCGACUGUCUCUUCCUCCCACGGGUCAAAACCACCUACUCGCCCUCACUGCCGGCAUGGUGCAUGUCAGGGCUCUGCAGCCGUGUCUGCGCAACGGUACAAGACGCAGGGGGUCACAGUCUGCAAGGCCGGCAGGGUCGGCACCGAAUUCCAGGCCCACAUAAUGGCAUCAUCGGUGCACGGUGCACCAGCAGAUCUGGGUACGCGUGGCCCCUCUUGUGAAUGGCCUGGUCUGCUGCAACUGGCUGUGCUACACUGAUGCCCUUGUUAUGCUGCACAAUUGCUGCUACUGCUAUGGCCAUGGUAGUCGCAUGUGCCAUCCAUUUGCCUGCUUGUAGGCUCUCCCGCACUCCAAUCAGAAAGAGACAAAUCAGUCGGACGCACUUGUCUUUUCAGAAUUAAUGCACAGUAUCAGCACAGCCAAGCAUCUCUUUCGACGGAUCUGAUGUCUGUCUCCAUCUUGGCGCCAUAGUUGGGUGGGUCGAGAGGACACGCUUGUGUCAUUUUGGCCAAUGGCUCAAGGGAGACAGAUAGCAUCCGAAUCCACCUUGUGGGAGCACAUGUGCAGCUUCGAGCAAUACUGGAUGCUGCACUGCUAAAGUUACUCAAAAUUGGUAACAAGAUGAAGCACACAGGCAACAAAAAUCGAAUCUUUCCUAUUUUUCGCACCAAAAUAGGCUGGUUCUUAGAUUAACUAAUACGUUGUGCUUCUUUUACAUUGCUAUAUGUGGCUUCACUAGGCUAUCGUAUUUCAACAUUUUUCCUUUUCUUCAUUAGUUAUUAGUUUCUCCUCCUUGCCUGGUCUUAUGACCAGACUGUAAAUCGAACUGUUUUACCACCACCUUCAAUGCAAAGGCAGAGCACCUGUGGCAUCUUAUGCUAAAAAUAAAAAUAUUUUGUGCCUCCAGGCUCUGAUAGGUUGCAUAUAGAAGGUUGACUUCAGAGUUCAUAUUUCCUAGCUUUUCAAAAUUGACCACUCCUACAAAUGAUGCAAGAUUGCCUUGUGUAUGGCUAUUGGAUAGCUUAGAUUUGACUAGAUAUGGUACCCUUUUUUUCUCGUUGAAUCUCCUCUACACGUUUUUGGCGCUUGUAGUCUCUCCUGCGUGCUGCUUUCCUAUAGGGUUAUUAAGAAGUCCUUUUGACAAAGCAUGCCGUCCAAUUAUAUGCAGUACCUCACAUUUUUCUCGAGGGGACUGUUGGACCAGUUAGUGGCACGUAACAUCACAAGUGACAUGACCUUAAUCUAUUUUCCACGUAUUGAAUUUAUUUGCGUACCAUAGUCUUGCUGUAAGACUUUACUCCCUCUGUCUCAAAAAGACCGAUGUUUUUUACUUUGACCAAUCAUAUUUGACUGUUCGUCUUAUUUAAAAAAAUUUGUGCAAAUUUUAAAAUAGAUAAAUCAUUAUUAAAGCACCUCUAAUGAUCAAAUAAGUUAUAUCAAAAUAGACAAUAUUUAUACAAAAGUUGUAAUAAGACAGAUGGUCAAACAAGAUGUCUAAAAGUCAACAACAACGGUCUUUUUGAGACGGAGGAAGUAUAUUUUAUUAGUCCUGUGUGGUGAUUCAGAACAGAUUUAGGCACAUCUGCAGCAGUGCGUGUGGCAUCUCAACUCAGGAUGCACACUUCACUUUGAAAAAGCGAAUCUGAAUUCUGAACAUGUAUCUAUGUUACAUAGGCCAUUGGGCUUGCACAUGCUGCGAUCAAUGCGAUCCCGAACUCGCUGUGGCACAUAGGAAUAUGUUUUGGCAUGAAAGUGAUGCGAUCAUGCACGGCACAUGCCACCUUUGUGGGAGACGCCUCUCGUGCCGUGAUUUGUUUUAUUUUGGUUGAUUGAUGUCUUUCUCGUACCCUUGCUGGAUCAGUGCCAACUUACUAGAUAUUUUUUUUGGGGGGUUCACAUGACAGCUUUUUGAUUGGAUGGGAUCGCUGUAAUAUUGUUCUUGAUCCACACUUGCUUGAUCUUAUUGUAACAUAUCUCGUUUGUGUUUGUGUCAGCAGCAAAAUGGGUGCCGGCGGCAGGAUGACCGAGAAGGAGCGGGAGAAGCAGGAACAGCUCGCCCGUGCUACUGGUGGCGCUGCCAUGCAGCGAUCUCCGGUGGAGAAGCCACCGUUCACGGUGGGUCAGAUCAAGAAGGCCAUUCCACCACACUGCUUCGAGCGCUCAGUGUUGAAGUCCUUCUCCUACGUGGUCCAUGACCUCAUCAUUGCCGCGGCGCUCCUGUACUUUGCGCUGGCCAUCAUACCGGCGCUCCCAAGCCCGCUCCACUACGCGGCCUGGCCGCUCUACUGGAUCGCCCAGGGGUGCGUGUGCACUGGCGUGUGGGUCAUCGCGCACGAGUGCGGCCACCAUGCCUUCUCCGACUACCAGCUCCUGGAUGACAUCGUUGGCCUGGUGCUGCACUCGUCGCUGAUGGUGCCGUACUUCUCGUGGAAGUACAGCCACCGGCGCCACCACUCCAACACCG